UCAAAUGAAUUGACGGGGAGCACCACAACGGUGGAGCUUGCGGUUUAAUUGGAUUCAACGCCGGAAAUCUUACCGGACCGACAGCAAUAUGAAGGCCAGGCUGAAGACUUUGCCGGAUUAGCUGAGAGGUGGUGCAUGGCCGUCGUCAGUUCGUACUGUGAAGCAUCCUGUUAAGUCAGGCAACGAGCGAGACCCACGCCCACAGUUGCCAGCGUACUCUCUGGAGUGACGGGUACACUGUGGGACCGCCGCUGCUAAAGCGGAGGAAGGAAUGGGCAACGGUAGGUCAGUAUGCCCCGAAUAUCCCGGGCUACACGCGAGCUACAAUGGUUGGUACAAUGGGUAUCUACCCCGAAAGGGGACGGGAAUCUCCUAAAACCAAUCUUAGUUCGGAUUGAGGGCUGCAACUCGCCCUCAUGAAGCUGGAAUCCGUAGUAAUCGCGUUUCAACAGAACGCGGUGAAUACGUCCCUGCUCCUU
rnacentral:rRNA from 1 species